UACAGGGGGGGCAAGCGUUGUUCGGAUUCAUUGGGCGUAAAGGGUGCGUAGGUGGCGCUGUAAGUCAGGUGUGAAAUUUCGGAGCUUAACUCCGAAACUGCAUUUGAUACUGCGGUGCUUGAGGACUGGAGAGGAGACUGGAAUUCACGGUGUAGCAGUGAAAUGCGUAGAGAUCGUGAGGAAGACCAGUGGCGAAGGCGGGUCUCUGGACAGUUCCUGACACUGAGGCACGAAGGCCAGGGGAGCAAACGGG
rnacentral:rRNA from 1 species